GAAAAAAAAAUUCUUCUGAUUUUAUACCCAACGUUGUUCAACUUUCUUCCCUUUGUACUCUCUCUAUCCUUACGGUAACUCCUCUCUCUCCAGGAAGGAUAACCGGCGACCAAAACCCAGCUAUUGUGGAGCCCAACCGCCCACCAUCAUGUUUAAUCACCGCUGUCUUCUCCUCUCUCUCCACUCUCCACUCUCCACUCUCCACUCUCCACUAUCUAUCUUCUCCGGCAACAGUUUCAGCCCCCAACACCCUGAGGCAGAACAACCCCACUUGAAUGGCUGCCUUAGUCCCUCUGCUAAGUUGGUGGUUGUGAUGUCUGAUCCAAAGCUUUGAACCACAUUAGGACACCCUUUUAAAGACCGAAGAAACCCUUCUUCAUUCAAGAGUGAAGAUAACCCAGAAGCAGCGUGUUCUGAUUUCACAGCAAUGGUUGGAGGAAAUCCAAAACAGGUUUCUUCAAUUUCGCAACAAAAACAGACCCAAAUCCUCCACGCCAAGCAAUUGACCCCUGCACCAAGACGAUGCUCCGUAACCCAGAGAAACCUCACCACCGGCAGUGUAGUCCUCUCUGGUUCGCUUCAUCCCUCCAACGACACAACCAGAAAAUUUCUGAAUUUCUAUGGAUUGUGGAACAAUGGUUGUAUCAAGCAGUGGGGUUCGAAGAGAAACAAGAAAUGGAUUAUACAAAAUGCUAACUUUGCUGAUAGUGGGUAAUAAUGGUAGAGAAAAAAAAAAAAAAAAGAUUUAUGAAAGCUAAUGUGCAUGGCAGAGGGUGUGCCUGCAUUUUCAGUUGUCAUUAUUGGCCUCACUAGGUCUAAUACGUGGAGAUGUUCUUCCUACAUGGUAUAUACAUGGUCUAGCAGUAUCUAAAAUGUCCAUUUAGCACAUGUAGGAGCAUAGACAAGAAGAGCUAAGAUUCACUUAAUUUCCCAUCAUUUUUUCAUGGUAAGGCUGUUCUUUUCUCCCUUUUGUUUAGUAUAUAGACACUCAUUAGCUUGAAUUCAAGCUUGACUUACAUUACUAAUCAAUCAUAGAAUACAUGACAGAGCAUGCUCAAUGUUAGGUGAAAGCUAUGUUAUUCUAUUGAGAUUAAGUUCUUGGUUUCAGGUUCUUAAAGGCUUUCUUUGAAUUGUCUAUACAAAAUGUUUUUGUAAAAUAUGUUAUUAUCUAAUUUUAUAAAGAACAUUUUUCUACCAUUGAGUUGGCUUAUCAGACUUGGAAUAUAUGUAGUUUGUUUUAAAUCUAAGCCACAUAUGUAAGGGGUUUGUGAUGUUUCCUUCCUUAGAGGUUUAGAGUAUGGGUAUGUACACUUUACAAGAAACUGUAAUCUGUGUACACACUUUACAAAUUUUUCUAAUAAUAGAAAAUUUUCUGCUGCGAUUGUUUAAUGCAAGCUGUUAGGAUGGCUUGCAAGGCUAGGAAAGCUGUGAAUUAUGGACACAAAUAUGAGCUAUGAAAACAAGUUGAGUAAAAAGUGAAGAACAUAGAAGUAAUACAAUGCUUGAGUGGUUUUCCUAAGGGAUCUUGAAUUUAGUAAGAAGAAGAGUACUAAUUUUGAGAAAAGUUGAGGAUAAAAGAAAAAAAAUUAUGAGGUGUUUGGCUCAACUGUUGUGGCUGUGAUUUACUUAUUUGUUCACAGUCAUAACUGUCCAAUAUAUUUUCAAAGAAAGAAAGCAUAGAAAAGACAAAGACAUGUUGAAUGUUAGAGGGUUUAAGCAAGGUUUGACUUUGACAUGCAUUGUAAAAUAGUAGGUGAAAGAUUAGCUUUUUUAGUAGGAUUUCUAGAGGCUUCUUGCAUGUUUACAAAGCCAGCCAAGGUGGUGAAGGAAAAAUUUUGUUUAUUCAAGUAGGAAGUUAUUGAGUAAUAAAUGGAUGUUAAUUUUGAAUGGGGUUUCAACGUAAAGAAGGUAGAUCUGUAGUUGGGUAUUACAAUAAUGAUGAUGGUGGUAGCAGCAAUGUUCCCUCAUCAAGUAGUUUUUUCAUCCCUACGAUUGCAGUUUAUACUGAGCACUGUUCUUUUUGCUUUAGUUUCAAAUUUUUAGUGGUUUCAAUGCUUCAUAUAGUUUGGUAGCUUUCCAAAGAAAGAUUAGUGGUGCUGGCAUUGUAGAUUUCAAUAAGUCAUGAUUAUAGAAUGCGUCUAUGCAUAACUUUAUUAAUCUGUGUUAGUUUAAAUAAAUUGUUGAACUUUCCCAUCAAUAUAUAAAAUUGUUUAUUAAAAUUUUCCGUAUAUUGUACGGGUUAGCGACUAAUAUAUUAUAAAACCAAAGUCUCUGACUUUUUGUUGACAUCAUAAGAGUGUUCCACCUCAACUUUGUAGCCUCCACAAAUUUACACAUCAUUAUUAAUUUAUAAUUUUUUUUUUUAAUUUACUUCAAUUUAACCCUUGAACAACCCUACUGUAUACAUGAACACGAUGGUAUUUGAAUACUUCCAGAUGCAGAAAACAAACCUUCAGUCCAAACUCCAACCUGAAUGGUGACUACCGCAGCCCCUCAGCCUUCCGCCAAGCCAAGUCUACCACCGCCCCAGAGUCAAAAACUGAAGCCUCUGACCAUUUCCUUCAAACUCUCUCUCUUUCAAAUGCACUCCCAUCUCCUUCUCCUUCUCCUUCUUCUUCAACUCUCUCAUCCAACGCAGCUCCCCAUCAUUUUCUAACCUCUCCAUCGUUGAAUUACAGAAGGAAAAUGAAAUGCUGCAUCAUAAAGCAAACCUUAAUGGAUAUCUCGCUCUUGCCUACCACACCGGUCAAAGUCUCGACAGGACCAAUCAUGAUACUGACCGAGAUUUCUUCAUGAGUGCAAAAGAAGCCAAAGAAUAUGGGCUUAUAGAUGGUAUCCUUAUGAAUCCUCUCAAAGCUCUUCAGCCACUGGCAGCUAUGGCAGAGGCUGAGACUAAAGUUGAGUCUGGUGUGUAAAUUUCUCUUGGGUGACUGCUGUGGAGGACAUGGCUUUAUAGAAGAGUUAAAUGAAGAAUGAUAUUUUUGGUGUGCCUGAGUUCAUAUUAGUUCAUGAUGCUGUUUUUCUUUAUAGCAGAGAAUUAAGAACCUUGAAUUUUGCUGCUGUUUACCCCUAAUUUCCAAAUGAUCAGUGUUGGCUGCAUAUCAUUCCUCUCUCUAUUUGAUAUGGUCGAAUAUGAGUAUUAGGUAUGGCUGUGUAUAAAAUUAUGGGGAUAUCUUCUUAAGAGAUUCUUCUUGUCAAGCUCUAUUUUUAUAUCUUUGGUUCUCCUUGAAAUAGGUUGAGCUUUGCGAUGAUGAGGAGUUUCUUGUUCUAGCUUAUGAUGGGAUGGUUAGUUGGUUUUUCACUUAUUAAUGUGUUUUUUCUCUCUAAUUUGUGAAAUUUACUCUGAAUGCUUUAGGGAUAAUAGUCGAAUCUGUAUUUGUUAAGUGGCAGUCCGGAUUCAAAACUUUGUGAAUUUGGUGAAAGUGUAGAUGUUCUUAUGUGUAUGAUGAUAAACUAGGCUAUAGGUGUUUGCCACUGCUUUAUUGGUUUUGUUGGUGCUAACAAGUCCUAAGGGCACAUCCAGUGCAAAAGAGCAUUGGAAAUAUGCUUCUUUGAUUACGCUCACAGGAAUCAGUUGUGAUAAUUUAUUUAUGUUAUGGUUGAUAAUGUUGUGAGCAUCAUUUUAGCUUCUAAAUUCAAUUGGGCCUUCAAUUA